UCAGGAUAAACGCUGGCGGCGUGCUUAACACAUGCAAGUCGAACGGAGUGGUUCUCCCGAGGAAUGAGGGUGCUUGCACCUGAAUGACUCAUUUGAAUCACUUAGUGGCGGACGGGUGAGUAACGCGUGGGAAACCUGCCCUAUACUGGGGGAUAGCAGUUGGAAACGACUGAUAAUACCGCAUAAGCGCACAGCUUCGCAUGAAGCAGUGUGAAAAACUCCGGUGGUAUAGGAUGGUCCCGCGUCUGAUUAGCUAGUUGGUGAGGUAACGGCCCACCAAGGCAACGAUCAGUAGCCGGCCUGAGAGGGUGUACGGCCACAUUGGGACUGAGACACGGCCCAAACUCCUACGGGAGGCAGCAGUGGGGAAUAUUGGACAAUGGGGGAAACCCUGAUCCAAGCGACGCCGCGUGAACGAAGAAGUAUUUCGGUAUGUAAAGUUCUAUCAGCAGGGAAGAUAAUGACGGUACCUGACUAAGAAGCACCGGCUAAAUACGUGCCAGCAGCCGC
rnacentral:rRNA from 1 species